UACGAAGGGGGCUAGCGUUGCUCGGAAUGACUGGGCGUAAAGGGCGCGUAGGCGGCUCAUACAGUCAGAUGUGAAAUUCCUGGGCUUAACCUGGGGGCUGCAUUUGAUACGUGUGGGCUUGAGUGGGGAAGAGGGUCGUGGAAUUCCCAGUGUAGGGGUGAAAUUCGUAGAUAUUGGGAAGAACACCGGUGGCGAAGGCGGCGACCUGGUCCUUGACUGACGCUGAGGCGCGAAAGCGUGGGGAGCGAACAGG
rnacentral:rRNA from 1 species